rnacentral:lncRNA from 1 species
CAAAUUUUAAAGCUAUCCUGUCAGUUUUUUCCCCUUUAGUACUUUACAGAGACUAGUACUCUUCUCCCUGUUUUUCACUGUUAUCUAAUUUAUUGUUAUCUGACAUUUAUUUUGCUUUUGUGUCACACGAAAACUGUGAUACCUAAAUAAGGAUUUGGGAAGCUUUUAGGUUCCUGACACACAAAAAAGCCAAACCAAACCCCAAACAACCAAAAAACAAACAACAAAACCUCCUGAUAAAGAGACACCAGUGGCUGUAGGCUGAAAGUUAAUUACCUUCUUGUCCUCACAUGUGUACACUGAGACUGUGAUACUGAACAGCAAGUUGUACCAUUGUUGUGGGUAAGAAGAACAAGCAAGGUGCAGUGCAACUGGUUAUGAUGUUCUGCUUCCAGGAUUGUACUCAUCAACAGAGGUGUAAAAUGUAUUCAAAGUCUUCAGAAUGCUUCUUCCAAAUAUUUUAUUCUUUGGUAUUUUAGUUCAUUAUAGGCUUCAUUAUUUCUUCCUCCAGCUUUUCUUCCUCCCUACAGCAGUUGCUUUCCAGACUUGGAGCUCCCUCCUCAGCCUCCCAAAGAGCUGUUUCCCAUCAUUGGUGUCAUGGAACUCUUGCCCUAAUUUCACUGACACCUUGAUUCUCUCUUGUAUCAAACACUGCAUUUGGGUGGUCUGAUACUACACGGACACAACCUCUGGUGAGGACAGGGAAGCAAGAUAGUAAGAAAACUUUCUGGCCAAGAGCAGCUGUAUGAAUUCACUACCAGGUCAGUCUAGAGGUGCAGUGGUUUGGGUUUUUUUGUUUUUUUUUUUUGUUGUUUUGUUUUGUUUUUCUCUUUUCUCUCUCUCUCUCUCUUUUUUUUUUUUUGGUGCAGGUAGCUUUAUUUUAUCAUACCUUUGCAUGAAUUAGGUCACUCAGUAAUUUAGAUUGCAUUUCCACACGGUUUUUAUUUGAUUACUGUGUGAAUGCUCAUUGUUUACUUUGCUUUUGUUUUAUGUUUUUCCUGAUACUUACUGAAAGCUCUAAACCCAAAUAAAUGACAAGUUCAGUAAAAACUCA